rnacentral:tRNA from 1 species
GCGGCUGUAAUUCAGUUGGAUAGAAUAUCGGACUUCUAAUCCGAAAGCCAAGAGUUCAAGUCUCUUCAGCCGUA